rnacentral:rRNA from 1 species
GAUGAACGCUGGCGGCGUGCCUAAUACAUGCAAGUCGAGCGAACGGACGAGAAGCUUGCUUCUCUGAUGUUAGCGGCGGACGGGUGAGUAACACGUGGAUAACCUACCUAUAAGACUGGGAUAACUUCGGGAAACCGGAGCUAAUACCGGAUAAUAUUUUGAACCGCAUGGUUCAAAAGUGAAAGACGGUCUUGCUGUCACUUAUAGAUGGAUCCGCGCUGCAUUAGCUAGUUGGUAAGGUAACGGCUUACCAAGGCAACGAUGCAUAGCCGACCUGAGAGGGUGAUCGGACACACUGGAACUGAGACACGGUCCAGACUCCUACGGGAGGCAGCAGUAGGGAAUCUUCCGCAAUGGGCGAAAGCCUGACGGAGCAACGCCGCGUGAGUGAUGAAGGUCUUCGGAUCGUAAAACUCUGUUAUUAGGGAAGAACAUAUGUGUAAGUAACUGUGCACAUCUUGACGGUACCUAAUCAGAAAGCCACGGCUAACUACGUGCCAGCAGCCGCGGUAAUACGUAGGUGGCAAGCGUUAUCCGGAAUUAUUGGGCGUAAAGCGCGCGUAGGCGGUUUUUUAAGUCUGAUGUGAAAGCCCACGGCUCAACCGUGGAGGGUCAUUGGAAACUGGAAAACUUGAGUGCAGAAGAGGAAAGUGGAAUUCCAUGUGUAGCGGUGAAAUGCGCAGAGAUAUGGAGGAACACCAGUGGCGAAGGCGACUUUCUGGUCUGUAACUGACGCUGAUGUGCGAAAGCGUGGGGAUCAAACAGGAUUAGAUACCCUGGUAGUCCACGCCGUAAACGAUGAGUGCUAAGUGUUAGGGGGUUUCCGCCCCUUAGUGCUGCAGCUAACGCAUUAAGCACUCCGCCUGGGGAGUACGACCGCAAGGUUGAAACUCAAAGGAAUUGACGGGGACCCGCACAAGCGGUGGAGCAUGUGGUUUAAUUCGAAGCAACGCGAAGAACCUUACCAAAUCUUGACAUCCUUUGACAACUCUAGAGAUAGAGCCUUCCCCCUCGGGGGACAAAGUGACAGGUGGUGCAUGGUUGUCGUCAGCUCGUGUCGUGAGAUGUUGGGUUAAGUCCUGCAACGAGCGCAACCCUUAAGCUUAGUUGCCAUCAUUAAGUUGGGCACUCUAAGUUGACUGCCGGUGACAAACCGGAGGAAGGUGGGGAUGACGUCAAAUCAUCAUGCCCCUUAUGAUUUGGGCUACACACGUGCUACAAUGGACAAUACAAAGGGCAGCGAAACCGCGAGGUCAAGCAAAUCCCAUAAAGUUGUUCUCAGUUCGGAUUGUAGUCUGCAACUCGACUACAUGAAGCUGGAAUCGCUAGUAAUCGUAGAUCAGCAUGCUACGGUGAAUACGUUCCCGGGUCU